rnacentral:rRNA from 1 species
UACGUAGGGGGCAAGCGUUGUCCGGAUUCAUUGGGCGUAAAGAGCUCGUAGGCGGUUCGAUAAGUCGGGUGUGAAACCUCCAGGCUCAACCUGGAGACGCCACCCGAUACUGUCGUGACUAGAGUCCAGUAGGGGAGCGUGGAAUUCCUGGUGUAGCGGUGAAAUGCGCAGAUAUCAGGAGGAACACCAGCGGCGAAGGCGGCGCUCUGGGCUGGCACUGACGCUGAGGAGCGAAAGCGUGGGGAGCGAACAGG